CCGAGUGGUGUGGAUGUUUAUUGGGCCUAAAGCAUCCGUAGCUGGCCAAGCCAGUCCCCUGUUAAACCCAACGAAUUAAUCGUUGGAUUGCGGGGGAUACUGCUCGGCUAGGGGACGAGAGAGGCCGACGGUAUUCUCGGGGUAGGGGUGAAAUCCUAUAAUCCCGGGAAGACCACCAGUGGCGAAGGCUGUCGG
rnacentral:rRNA from 1 species